AAGGGCCUGGCCCCUGCCUCCCUCGGGCCAUGGUGAGCUGUGGCGGGGCUGGAGAAACUGGGACCCAGGUGAGGGGAGCCUCCGGGGACAAGUUACAGUUGUGGCCUGUGACCUCACUCUGCUCACCUCGGACAGAUGACCUCAGUUUCUUCACCCGUAACUCAAGGAAUGCCCAGAUGGGAGACCAGGUUGCCAUGAAAACAUUUGAGUGAUCAACAUACUCGAGAGGCAACAAGAAGGCAGAGGAGGCUGGGACUGACAGGUGGCGUACCCAGGGGCUCCUCUCUCCCCAGAGCGACAGGGCCCGGAGAGCCGUGGGCCUCACCAUGCUGGCGCCGGGCAGCAGCCCUGAGCAGAGGGGCAGGCUCGCCCUGCAGUGGAGGCAGGUCUCCUGGAUCACCUGCUGGAUUGCCCUGUAUGCUGUGGAAGCCCUCCCCACCUGCCCUUUCUCCUGCAAGUGUGACAGCCGCAGCCUGGAGGUGGACUGCAGUGGCCUAGGCCUCACCACGGUGCCCCCAGAUGUGCCUGCAGCCACCCGAACCCUCUUGCUCUUGAACAAU
rnacentral:sRNA from 1 species